GGCUGCCGUCUAUGGGGUCGCACAGAAUCGGACACGACUGAAGCGACUUAGCAGCAGCAGUGUUGAUCCAUAAAGCUUUUCAUUUAAGAAGUUGGAAAAAGUACUAUUGUCUUUGGAUUUGUGGCUUCACCAUAUUUUAGCUACACGACCAAAAGCAAGUUAAUCUCUCUAAACCUCGGUUUCCUUCUAUAAACGAGGUACACUCCCACUUGCCUAGAGGGCAGUGGUUACCAGAAAAGUACAGGACAUCCUCCUAAAUUUCACUUUCAGAAAAACGAGUCAUUAUUUAGUGUAAUCAUGUUUGGAACAAAUUUAUACUAAAGUAACUUUCGUUGUUUAUCUGAAAUUCAAAUUUUACUAGACGUUCUGGGUUUUUGCUAAAUCUGGCAACCUUAUAGCGGGCUUAUUGUGGAAUUAAAAGAGAUAGUCACCCCAAGACGUUCCCCCCACUUUUUGGCAUAAUAAGCGCUCAUUGGGGUCGACGCUGUUUUAAUUCCAGGCCCUCGUUUAUUAUAGUUCCUAUAUUCUUUCACUCAAUUUUUAAAUAAACCAGUUGAAGUUGUGACUCUUCAUUCCUGGCUGUCACCCCUGGAAGGAAGUACCUGGAGUCCAAUUGUUAAGAAAUUCCAAGCAAGCGAUUCCAUUACACAAGGUGCCGCCUUUAAGGGCGCGCAAGACGCGUAAAUAAGACGUCGACGUGCGGAGAGGCAGCCGCGGGGCCUGACGGGAUUGUGGCGGUCCUCUCCCAACUCGGAAGCUGCGGCUGCCUUCGGACUCUCUCAAGAUGGCGACCUCUCUAGGUUCCAACACCUACAACAGGCAGAACUGGGAGGAUGCGGACUUCCCUAUUCUGUGCCAGACGUGUCUUGGAGAAAACCCAUAUAUCCGAAUGACCAAAGAAAAGUAUGGGAAGGAAUGCAAAAUCUGUGCCAGGCCAUUCACAGUGUUUCGCUGGUGCCCUGGGGUCCGCAUGCGUUUCAAGAAGACUGAAGUGUGCCAGACCUGCAGUAAAUUGAAGAAUGUCUGUCAGACCUGCCUCUUAGACCUAGAGUACGGCCUGCCCAUCCAGGUUCGUGAUGCAGGAUUAUCUUUUAAGGAUGACAUGCCAAAGUCCGACGUCAACAAAGAGUACUACACGCAGAAUAUGGAGAGAGAGAUUUCCAACUCUGAUGGAACGCGGCCAGUUGGCAUGUUGGGGAAAGCCACAUCCACCAGUGACAUGCUGCUCAAACUGGCCCGGACCACACCCUACUACAAAAGGAAUCGACCGCACAUUUGCUCCUUCUGGGUGAAAGGAGAGUGUAAGAGAGGAGAGGAGUGUCCAUACAGACAUGAAAAACCAACAGAUCCGGAUGACCCCCUUGCUGAUCAGAACAUUAAAGACCGAUAUUAUGGAAUCAAUGACCCUGUGGCAGAUAAACUCUUGAAGCGGGCUUCAACAAUGCCACGUCUGGACCCACCAGAGGACAAGACUAUCACCACACUGUAUGUUGGUGGUCUGGGCGAUACCAUUACUGAGACCGAUCUAAGGAAUCACUUCUACCAGUUUGGAGAGAUCCGGACCAUCACUGUUGUGCAAAGACAGCAGUGUGCUUUCAUCCAGUUUGCCACAAGGCAGGCUGCAGAAGUGGCUGCCGAGAAGUCCUUUAAUAAGUUGAUUGUCAAUGGCCGCAGGCUCAACGUGAAAUGGGGAAGGUCCCAGGCAGCCAGAGGGAAAGAAAAGGAGAAGGACGGAACCACAGACUCUGGAAUCAAGCUCGAGCCCGUUCCAGGGCUCCCAGGAGCUCUUCCUCCUCCUCCUGCCGCGGAAGAAGAAGCCUCUGCCAACUACUUCAACCUACCCCCCAGUGGUCCUCCGGCCGUGGUGAACAUUGCCCUGCCACCCCCACCUGGUAUUGCCCCGCCCCCACCCCCAGGUUUUGGGCCACACAUGUUCCACCCCAUGGGACCACCCCCUCCGUUCAUGAGGGCUCCAGGACCAAUCCACUAUCCUUCUCAGGACCCUCAGAGGAUGGGAGCACAUGCCGGGAAACACAGCAGCCCCUAGCACUCAUCACCGCUCUGGGGCUGUACGGAAGAGAGGGCGCUUAAAAAUCCUAGACACAUAGCCAGGGGUUCACUUGGUGAAAAGUAAACUUUGCCAUUCCCAGACCUCGGCUGUAGAAACAUCUCACCCACUCAGAGCUAUGAACUCUUUCCCAUCUGCUGGCUGAAUGAUCUCUGGAAGAUGGCAGUCACAAAAUGGAAGGAGGCUGGGUUCCUCUAUCGCUGCUAAAAGGAGAGCAUUAUGAUAAGAGGAAUUUUUGUUACAGUAAGCCAUUGAGUCCUGAGGAUCUAUCUGUAACAGCAGCUAGUGUUAUUCUCAUAAAAGAUGUCAGAUCUGAUGACAGAAAAAUAAAGAAGAAACUCCUUUUUUAUUUACACUGAGUAAUGGAGAUUUUUACUUUUUUAAAAAUUGAAGUAUAGU